rnacentral:rRNA from 1 species
UACGGAGGGUGCAAGCGUUAUCCGGAUUCACUGGGUUUAAAGGGCGCGUAGGCGGCCUGGCAAGUGGAAGGUGAAAUCCCUCGGCUUAACCGAGGAACUGCCUCCCAAACUGCUAGGCUUGAGACCAGGAGAGGUGAGUGGAAUUCCCAGUGUAGCGGUGAAAUGCGUAGAUAUUGGGAGGAACACCAGUGGCGAAGGCGGCUCACUGGACUGGUACUGACGCUGAGGCGCGAAAGCGUGGGGAGCAAACGGG